rnacentral:rRNA from 1 species
UACGAGGGGGGCGAGCGUUGUUCGGAAUUACUGGGCGUAAAGCGUGCGCAGGCGGUUUUGUAAGUCAGAUGUGAAAUCCCCGGGCUUAACCUGGGAACUGCGUUUGAAACUACAAGGCUAGAGUGUGACAGAGGGGGGUGGAAUUCCACGUGUAGCAGUGAAAUGCGUAGAGAUGUGGAGGAACACCGAUGGCGAAGGCAGCCCCCUGGGUUAACACUGACGCUCAGGCACGAAAGCGUGGGGAGCAAACAGG